ensembl:ncRNA M02F4.12 ncRNA
CAAAAAAAAUUAUUCCGUUGCGGGGAAUCGAACCCCGGCCUUAUGGGUGAGAGCCAUAAAUCCUAACCACUAGACCACAACGGAGAUGUUUCAAACAGAACUUAGGCGCACCAUAGAGCAGACAUAGACAGAAAAAGAAGAAAACGAG